rnacentral:rRNA from 1 species
AUUGAACGCUGGCGGCAGGCCUAACACAUGCAAGUCGAGCGAGCGGCGGACGGGUGAGUAAUGUAUGGGGCUCUGCCUGAUGGAGGGGGAUAACUACUGGAAACGGUAACUAAUACCGCAUACCAUCAGAUGCACCCAUAUGGGAUUAGCUUGUAGGUGAGGUAAUGGCUCACCUAGGCGACGAUCCCUAGCUGGUCUGAGAGGAUGAUCAGCCGCACUGGAACUGAGACACGGUCCAGACUCCUACGGGAGGCAGCUGUGUGGAAUGUUGCGCAAUGGUCGCAAGCCUGAUGCAGCCAUGCCGCGUGUGUGACGAAGUCCUUCGGGUUGUAAAGCACUUUCAGCGAGGAGGCGUUACUCGCAGAAGAAGCACCGGCUAACUCCGUGCCAGCAGCCGCGGUAAUAC